AUUGAACGCUGGCGGCAGGCCUAACACAUGCAAGUCGAGCGAGCGACGGACGGGUGAGUAAUGUCUGGGAAACUGCCUGAUGGAGGGGGAUAACUAUUGGAAACGGUAUCUAAUACCGCAUACCAUCAGAUGUGCCCAGAUGGGAUUAGCUAGGCGGUGGGGUAACGGCUCACCUAGGCGACGAUCACUAGCUGGUCUGAGAGGAUGACCAGCCACACUGGAACUGAGACACGGUUCAGACUCCUACGGGAGGCAGCAGUGGGGAAUAUUGCACAAUGGGCGCAAGCCUGAUGCAGCCGUGCCGCGGGUGUGAAGAAGUCCUUCGGGUUGUAAAGCACUUUCAGCGGGGAGGCGUUACCCGCAGGAGAAGCACCUGCUAACUCUGUGCCAGCCGCCGCGUUAAUAC
rnacentral:rRNA from 1 species